GCUAGCGGCAGGCCUAAUACAUGCAAGUCGAGGGGUAACAGGAAUAGCAAUAUUUGCUGACGACCGGCGCACGGGUGCGUAACACGUAUGUAAUCUGCCCAUCACUGGAGGAUAGCCCGGAGAAAUCCGGAUUAAUACUCCAUAAUAAAAGACAAAGCAUUUUGUUUUUUUGAAAGCUCCGGCGGUGAUGGAUGAACAUGCGACUGAUUAGUUUGUUGGUGAGGUAAUGGCCCACCAAGGCGUCGACGGGUAGCUGGUCUGAGAGGAUGAUCAGCCACACUGGGACUGAGACACGGCCCAGACUCCUACGGGAGGCAGCAGUGGGGAAUCUUGCGCAAUGGGCGAAAGCCUGACGCAGCAACGCCGCGUGCGGGAUGAAGGCCUUCGGGCUGUAAACCGCUUUCAGCAGGAACGAAAAUGACGGUACCUGCAGAAGAAGGAGCGGCCAACUACGUGCCAGCAGCCGCGGUGACACGUAGGCUCCAAGCGUUGUCCAGAUUUAUUGGGCGUAAAGAGCUCGUAGGCGGUUUAGUAAGUCGGGUGUGAAAACUCUGGGCUUAACCCAGAGACGCCAUCCGAUACUGCUGUGACUUGAGUUCAGGAGGGGAGCGGGGAAUUCCUAGUGUAGCGGUGAAAUGCGCAGAUAUUAGGAGGAACACCGGUGGCGAAGGCGCCGCUCUGGACUGAAACUGACGCUGAGGAGCGAAAGC
rnacentral:rRNA from 1 species